UACGUAGGGGGCAAGCGUUGUCCGGAAUCAUUGGGCGUAAAGAGCGUGUAGGCGGUCCGGUAAGUCCGUUGUGAAAGUCAGGGGCUCAACCCUUGAAUGCCGGCGGAUACUGUCGGGCUAGAGUCCGGAAGAGGCGAGUGGAAUUCCCGGUGUAGCGGUGAAAUGCGCAGAUAUCGGGAGGAACACCUAGUGGCGAAGGCAGCUCGCUGGGA
rnacentral:rRNA from 1 species